CCUUAUACUCUACUAGAUGCGCAACUGCGUCGCGUAAAGUGAAGCCUAUGGCGGCCAUUUGUCAAAGAGGCAAAAUACUGUAGAAUCGUAUUACGGUAAUGGUGAAAGGGAAAUCUAAAGACAAAAUCACAUAAUAAAAUGACAAACCGAUUUAGCAAUCGACCGCAAAUUACCCAAAAAACUGGAUGUUUCCUCCUGGUUUAAACCGAUUUGUACACCCAAAUGCGGAACACGAUGCCGGCAUAUUUCGCUUUUAAUAAACCAACACUUUUUGGAACUAUACUUUAAUUCACGUAAUCAUACACAUUCACCCCUAAUACACAUGAAACAGUUCGCAACGUACAUACAUAUACAGGGUAUUUUUGAAAUAGAUGGAAACUUUUUUUAAGGUAAUUGGUCAUGAUAUAGAGAAUUUAUGCAUCAAAUAUAGAAAAGUAGGUAAAAUUGUAGCUUGUUAACAUGACAAUACAUUCAUUAGCCCAUCAUUUUUUGACGUUUUUGCAAUUUUUUGGAAGAACAAAAUGAAUUUUUCUAAUUCUGAAAUGACUGACAUGGUUCUGAUGUAUGGACAAGCCUUAAGAAACUCCUUGGAAGCUCGACGUUUAUACCAAGAAGCAUUUCCCGAACGAAGAUUGCCAAAUCAUAAAACAUUUGCUAACGUUGUUCAGCGUCUACGAGAAAAUGGGAAAUUUCAACCUCGUUUUAGUGAUCGUGGUCGUGAAAGGACAGAACGGACACUUGAUGCCGAAGAAGAAAUUUUGAAUGUCGUUGAAAACGAUCCAGGUAUAAGCAUUAGACGAUUGUCUUACCGAGUGGGAGUUUCAUCUUUUGUGGUGUGGAGAACUCUACAUGAACAAGGCAACAAUCAUUGAUUAGACGUGCGGAAGCGUGUAUACGAAAUGGUGGUGGACAUUUUGAAAACUUGCUCUAGUUGCAUACGUUACGUUUUGUUUCAUUUUAUGGUUGAUUAAAUUAUGAUUUUGAAGUUUUAAUUGUCAGUUCAUUAAUUAUUGUCAUUGUUUAUUUGUUGCUAGCAAUAAAUUAAUAGCAACAGUAGUUA